UACGAAGGGGGCUAGCGUUGCUCGGAAUCACUGGGCGUAAAGGGUGCGUAGGCGGGUCUUUAAGUCAGGGGUGAAAUCCUGGAGCUCAACUCCAGAACUGCCUUUGAUACUGAGGAUCUUGAGUUCGGGAGAGGUGAGUGGAACUGCGAGUGUAGAGGUGAAAUUCGUAGAUAUUCGCAAGAACACCAGUGGCGAAGGCGGCUCACUGGCCCGGUACUGACGCUGAGGUGCGAAAGCGUGGGGAG
rnacentral:rRNA from 1 species